GGUUGGAAUGGAUUGGACUUGAAAACCCAUAUUUGGUUGGCUAGGAAUUAAACACCGGUUUGGUUUCCAUGCCACUAUACCUGAUUUUGCAUCCCAAUUGUUUGAAAUCCAAUGGAAAUGUCAAAGCUCUCCCUUGCUGCUCCAACGACAAAAAAUUACUUCUCUUGUUGCCAUCAAUAACUUGAUAGGAUGGGGUCUUCUGACAUUGGGAGUUUGGUAGAGGAGGGCUCCUUCUCACAAAAAGGUCAAUUGCUUACAUUUGAAGCCGAUGAUGAUGAUUUUAAUUAGAUCUAACUUUUGUUUGUUUCACGUGCUUCAGAUAUGUUCGUAUUUUGUUAUUUUUUUAAAAAAAAUAUGUUGGAUCUGUUCUAUAUUCACUUGCUACUUCAGAUCUAUUCUUAUUUUGAUUUUGAUUUUUCGGAUUUGUUCUUUCUUAUUUCGUCUUUUUAUGAAUGUGUUGAAUCUAUCCCUAACUUGAUUUUGGGUUGCAUGUUUCAUAUUUAAUCUGCUUUGGUGAUUUUUUGAUACUUUUAAAUCCGUUCUUCUCGGUUCUAGUUUGCAUUUUUUGGAUUUGUUCUUAUUUUUCCUUCCCUCAAAUGUAGUGGAUCUGUUCCUAUUCUUGUUUUGGUUUGCAUGUUUUGAAUCCAAUCUGCUUUUGUGAUUUUUUUGAUAUUUUUGAAGUUGUUGGUUAUAGUUUGCAUUCUUUGGAUUUAUUCUUAUUUUCCAUUCCCUGGAAUGUGAUGGAUUUGUUCCUAUUUUGGUUUUGGGUUGCAUGUUUCCGAACUAAUAUGUUUAUAUAUAUAUAUAUAUAUACUCUUAGUAUGUUCCUCUUGGUUUUGGUUUGCAUUUUUUGGAUUUGUUCAUACUAGUCAUCAUUUUUUAGGCCGAUGAUGAAAAUUCUUUUUUUCCAAAUAUAUAAUUAAAUGAUAUUUUUGCCUUUAUAGAGUUGUUUUUCACUAGUUACAACAUGAUUUUCUUUCAUGAAAAAGAGAAUUUUUUUUAAUUGCAUAUGUUUUAUUUUUUUUCUUCGCCUAAAUACUUUUUAAAAACUUAAAUAUGUCUUUCCAUUACUAUUCUCUUUCUUUGUUAAAUAUGUUUAUGUUUUCCAAUUAAAAUAUGUUUAAUAAUAUAUUUAUCGGUUCAUCUAAUUUUGUACCUGAGGCCUCUUUAGUUAUAGAAUCUUUUGUCUUUUAUAUUUUAUAUAUUAUGUUUUGGUGUGAUUAUAACUCACUUUUGUUUUUUGGAUUAUUUUAUUAUAAUUGAUGGUGUAUACUUAUGUUUGUGUUGUGAUUUUGGAUGGGAAGGAUAGAGAUGUUGACUCUAUUCAUAGUUUUUUCAUCCUUUUGUAUGUUUUGUUAUUGUGAGCAAACCAAAAAUUUCAAAACCUGAGGCCACUCUUCUAAGUUUUCAUUUUAUCAUUGUUUUGACUAUUUCAAACCUAUUUCCUAUCUUGACUUUGAAUGGUUAAGAUCAUUAGUUUGAUUCCCAAAUUAAAGAUAAUCAAACUAAUGAUCCAACUAUUCAUAGUCAAUUACUUGUCUUAUCAUCCAUAAAUGUAUUAAUUUAUUAUUAUCAUUAUGGUUGAGUUGGUGGUUGGGGUAGAUUAAUCGAUAUGUCACUUCCAUUAAUUGAAGAGUGUUUGAAGGGUAGUUGAGUUUUAAUUGUUCCAUGAACUCAAGUCCUAUAUAUAAUUAUCCCUCCUCACAAUCCUUCACACCACCUCUUCCUCUUCGAAAUUGAAACUGUCCGAGGGCCCACUCUAAGGAGUAAGUAAUCAAAGACUUUAUAGAUCUUUUAUUUUUUUGUACUAAAUUCUUUAUUCUUCUUUUCAUGUGAUAGGCCUACUGUUGACUCACUUUUACAACUUCACUUCUUUUGUUGGUUUAUCAAGUUAAACUGUGACGGUUUAUGGUUAACUAAGGUUUGAUCGUUCGUGGAAAGAAUACUAUUCUCCUUUCAUGGCCGUUUUCCAUUAUUUGAAGUUCUUUUUGCUUUUUUGUUAAUUCAAUAUAAUACAUUAUUUUGUAUGUAACUCGUUUUACUUGCUUGGCCAUUGUACUUAGUAAUAUUUUUCUUUUAUUGGUGGUUGUUAUUUCACAUUAUUUGCAUUACUCAUGCACUACUACAAAAAAAACACAAUUCUUUAUGCUUGAAACUUUUGAGUAUUUGACCUUUUUAUUAAAAAGAAAUGUCAAGUAACAUGUAAAUUUGAUGAAAAACAUCAAUAAUAAUGAAAAUAAGUGGAGGUUGGCAGAAAUUUUUGGAUUUUUUUCAUUCUGUUUUUACUUAACGCUUUAUAAAUGUUAAGUAGCUUGUGGUUUAUUAUUUUUUUUUUUUAAGGUUUCAUAUAUUAAAGAGAUGAAAAAUCGGGGAAGGUGCCCCCAAACCCCCAAAACCACACCAAAAGCCCACUUCCGACGGCUCCUUCUCAAUGUCUCCACGCUCUAUUCACGAUCAUCGCACCUCUCAUCUGACUUCCAUGCCGACAUCUAAAAAUCAACAAACUUCAAGUGUUCGACGAGUACCUGCAGCAACCCACACACAAAACAGGUUCGCUUUCUACUUCUCUUUACAUGAUGUGCGCGACUCAUGUGUUUUCUUCCUCUCUCGUGUCUCUCUUUCCCCGAUAGAUCUGUGAAUUUGCAUUGACGAGCAGCUUCUUUGGCGCCACCGCUAGCCCACCCUGACAACCGCUCUACAAUAAUGGCAUCCCUCUACGGGUACUUUUAAGUUUUUUGAAACAUAAGUAGACUAGAAAGGUAGGGUUCAUGAAUUGCAAAUCUGCUUCAAUUUUGUUAGAUAAGUUAGUUUAUUUGGUGUUUUUCAAGCCAAUAAAAUACUGGUCAGCGCUAAAUUUUUGCUUCUAAUGUUCUUUAUUAAGCUAUGAAUAGAGUUGAGGUCCCACUUGAAGAUUCAGUCGAACUACUUCUUGAGUUUUUCAAGGUCAGCUGGGCCUAAAGUCAAGCCCCAUUUCUCCAUUCCACAAAAAAGACGGAGAAGUAGGGUGUCACCUUGACGUGGCGGAAGUCAUCAGUUCGAGCCUGCUUAUCCCUAAAUCCAAUGUGAGUUUUUCUAUUUUGACUUGCUCCCCCGCCGUGAUUGAAUGAGAAUGAAUAUCGGGCCAGAUCAUGAGUGAAAUAUCAUGAUCGGGUCGACCAGGCCAGAUCAUGAGUGAAUAGAAAAUCGAAAACAUACCAGCCAAGCCAGCUCAACUGGGAUAUUUGAUUGGACAGAAGAACAACGGAUUGAACAUGACAAGACAAUCGGGAAGGGAAGCCUGACAUACAAAGGAACUCAAAUCAAACCUGUACCAACCAACCGACCAAAUUCCAAGAAAGCCAUUCUCUUUUUGAAGUUGAGGAAUUUCAUCUGAUACAGGGAAUGACUGAUUGAACAACCUGAACUUUGAUUAUCUCUAGUUGUUGGAAUAAAGGCGGUUGAAGAAAGUCGUCUGGAGAUUCGAAGUAAAGCCUUGAUAAAUGUGAAAUUGAUCAAGAUGGGAUCAUGAUUGGUUAACCAAUUUAGUUGAUGUAUUUUCAGGAAUCACUACACUAAAGCUCAAUCCCACUAUUAUAAAUGAUUAUCCAGACAAAUAUUUCAGUUCAA